rnacentral:sRNA from 1 species
AGCAGCCGCGGUAAUUCCAGCUCCAAUAGCGUAUAUUAAAGUUGUUGCAGUUAAAAAGCUCGUAGUUGAAUUUCGGGGUUAGUAGGUCGGUCGUGCCACUGGUAUGUACUGGUCUCACUGAUUCCUCCUUCCUGAUGAACCGUAAUGCCAUUAAUUUGGUGAUGCGGGGAAUCAGGGCUGUUACUUUGAAAAAUUAGAGUGUUUAAAGCAGGCUCGCGCUUGAAUACAUUAGCAUGGAAUAAUGAAAUAGGACGUUUGAUUCUAUUUUGUUGGUUUCUAGGAUCGACGUAAUGAUUAAUAGGGAUAGUUGGGGGCAUUAGUAUUCAAUUGUCAGAGGUGAAAUUCUUGGAUUUAUUGAAGACUAACUACUGCGAAAGCAUUUGCCAAGGAUGUUUUCAUUAAUCAAGAACGAAAGUUAGGGGAUCGAAGACGAUCAGAUACCGUCGUAGUCUUAACCAUAAACUAUGCCGACUAGGGAUCGGAUGAUGUUAAU